UACGGAGGGCGCAAGCGUUGUUCGGACUUACUGGGCGUAAAGCGCGGGUAGGCGGCCAGGUAAGUCGGAUGUGAAAGCCCGGGGCCCAACCCCGGAACUGCACCCGAUACUGCCUGGCUGGAGUCCCGGAGAGGAUGGCGGAAUUUCCGGUGUAGAGGUGAAAUUCGUAGAUAUCGGAAGGAACACCAGUGGCGAAGGCGGCCAUCUGGACGGUGACUGACGCUGAGACGCGAAAGCGUGGGGAGCAAACAGG
rnacentral:rRNA from 1 species